AACUUUUAACAAUGGAUCACUUGGCUCUCGCAUCGAUGAAGAACACAGGGAAAUGUGAUAAGUAAUGUGAAUUGCAGAAUUCAGUGAAUCAUCGAAUCUUUGAACGCACCUUGCGCCCUUUGGCUAUUCCGAAGGGCAUGCCUGUUUGAGUAUCAUGAACACCUCAACUCUCAUGGCUUGCCAUGAUGAGCUUGGACUCUGGGGGGUCUUGCUGGCUCAUGGUCAGCUCCUCUUAAAUGAAUCAGCCUUCCAGUGUUUGGUGGCAUCACAGGUGUGAUAACUAUCUACGCUUGUGGUGUCCUCCCAGGUAACCUUCAGUGAUGGAGGUCGCUGGAGCUAAUAAAUGCACAUCUCUCAUUGUAGAGAUGGCCUUUUAGAUGUUUGAUCUCAAAUCAGGUAGGACUACCCGCUGAACUUAAGCAUAUCAAUAAGCGGAGGCU
rnacentral:misc_RNA from 1 species